rnacentral:rRNA from 1 species
AUUGAACGCUGGCUGCAGGCCUAACACAUGCAAGUCGGGCGAGCGGCGGACGGGUGAGUAAUGUAUGGGGAUCUGCCUUAUGGCGGGGGAUAACUACUGGAAACGGUAGCUAAUACCGCAUACCCUCAGAUGAACCCAUAUGGGAUUAGGUAGUAGGUAAGGUAACGGCUUACCUAGGCGACGAUCCCUAGCUGGUCUGAGAGGAUGAUCAGACACGCUGGGACGGAGACACGGCCCAGACUCCUACGGGAGGCAGCAGUGGGGAAUAGUGCACAAUGGGCGAAAGCCGGAUGCAGCGACGCCGCGUGGGGGAUGAAGGCGUUCGGGUUGUAAACCUCUGGCGCUAUCGAACGGGUAGGUGGAGAAGAAGCGCCGGCUAACUACGUGCCAGCAGCCGCGGUAAUAC